rnacentral:rRNA from 1 species
UACGUAGGGUGCAAGCGUUGUCCGGAAUUAUUGGGCGUAAAGAGCUCGUAGGCGGUCUGUCGCGUCGGAUGUGAAAAUCCAGGGCUUAACCCUGGGCCUGCAUUCGAUACGGGCAGACUAGAGUUCGGUAGGGGAGACUGGAAUUCCUGGUGUAGCGGUGAAAUGCGCAGAUAUCAGGAGGAACACCGGUGGCGAAGGCGGCAUCCUGGACCAUUACUGACACUGAAAAGCGAAAGCCAGGGGAGCAAACGGG